rnacentral:rRNA from 1 species
AGUUCAAGAGUACGUGAAACCGUUUAGGGGUAAACCUGAGAAACCCGAAAGGUCGAAGGGAGAAAUUCAUUCGCGUUUCGACGCAGGCGUGGGAUGGGGUCGAGCGACGGGACACGUUCUUCGGAACGAGUUUUGCGCCCUCCGUACUUCGAACCGGUGACGAACGCGUGCACUUUUCUCCUGGUAGGACGUCGCGAUCCGUCGGGUGUCGGUCUACGACUUGCGGUGGAGACCGUUCGUCGUUUCGUACGUACGAACGGACCCGCUCGUUCCGGCCGACUCGCUCGACGGUAUACGAAAGGUCGGAGGCCGCUCGUUUUUUUUCAAGGAGCGUUCGACUCGUCGCAAGCGCGCCACGUGCGUCGACACGCGGACCCAGUGCCGCGUCCGACCUCUGGUGACUGUUGGCGACGAUGUUCUCGGACAGACCUCUUUUCGAAAGAUUGUAAAAGACCAAUCGGCGACGCUAUAGCUUUGGGUACUUUCAGGACCCGUCUUGAAACACGGACCAAGGAGUCUAGCAUGUACGCGAGUCAUUGGGAGUCACUAAACCUAAAGGCGUAAUGAAAGUGAAGGUCUUCCUCGCGGAGACCUAGGGAAGACGGACGGUUACGUGUUAAACCGCCCUAAAAAGUGGGACCGUCCUGCAUUCCCGGGGCGUCUCGUUCACAUCGCGUGAAGAGGCGCACCAAGAGCGUACACGCUGGGACCCGAAAGAUGGUGAACUAUGCCUGGUCAGGACGAAGUCAGGGGAAACCCUGAUGGAGGUCCGUAGCGAUUCU